rnacentral:rRNA from 1 species
CCUACGGGGCGCUACAGUGGGGAAUAUUGCGCAAUGGGCGAAAGCCUGACGCAGCGACGCCGCGUGAGGGAUGAAGGUCUUCGGAUCGUAAACCUCUGUCAGCAGGGAAGAACGGUCACUGUGCUAAUCAGCAGUGAAUUGACGGUACCUGCAAAGGAAGCACCGGCUAACUCCGUGCCAGCAGCCGCGGUAAUACGGAGGGUGCGAGCGUUAAUCGGAAUUACUGGGCGUAAGGCGCUCGUAGGCGGUAUGUCAAGUCAAGGGUGAAAGCCCCGGGCUCAACGUGGGAACUGCCUUUGAAACUGGCAAACUGGAGUGUGUGAGAGGAUAGUGGAAUUCCAGGUGUAGGAGUGAAAUCCGUAGAUAUCUGGAGGAACAUCAGUGGCGAAGGCGACUAUCUGGCACAUAACUGACGCUGAGGAGCGAAAGCGUGGGUAGCAAACAGGAUUAGAUACCCUUGUAGUC